CCCUUAGAUGUUCUGGGCCGCACGCGCGCCACACUGUUUGAUUCAGCGAGUCUUAACCUUGACCGAAAGGUUUGGGUAAUCUUCUAAAGUCAAACGUGAUGGGGAUCGAUCAUUGCAAUUAUUGAUCGUGAACGAGGAAUUCCUAGUAAAUGCAAGUCAUCAGCUUGCGUUGAUUACGUCCCUGCCCUUUGUACACACCGCCCGUCGCUACUACCGAUUGAAUGGUUUAGUGAGAUCUCCGGAUUGGCUCUGUAGGUCCCGCAAGGGAUUUAUUAGUAGCCAAGAAGCUGCUCAAACUUGAUCAUUUAGAGGAAGUAAAAGUCGUAACA
rnacentral:rRNA from 1 species